GAUGAAGAACGUAGCGAAAUGCGAUAAGUAAUGUGAAUUGCAGAAUUCAGUGAAUCAUCGAAUCUUUGAACGCACCUUGCGCUCUUUGGUAUUCCGAAGAGCAUGCCUGUUUGAGUGUCAUGAAAAUAUCAACCUUGACUUGGGUUUUGUGCUCUAGUCUCGGCUUGGAAUUGGGUGCUUGCCGCUUUUACGAGCGGCUCACCUUAAAUAUAUUAGCUGGAUCUGUCUUUGAGACUUGGUUUGACUUGGCGUAAUAAGUAUUUCGCUAAGGACAUUCUUCGGAGUGGCCUCGUUUCUAGGACGCUUGUCCGCUUUCCAAUACAAGUUCCACCUCGUGGACAUGACUUUUUAUUAUCUGGCCUCAAAUCAGGUAGGACUACCCGCUGAACUUAAGCAUAUCAAUAAGCGGAGGA
rnacentral:misc_RNA from 1 species